AUGGAUUCCUCCCCGCAAGGGGCAGGGACACAGGUGCUGCAUGGCUGUCGUCAGCUCGUGUCGUGAGAUGUUGGGUUAAGUCCCCGCAACGAGCGCAACCCUCGCCCUUAGUUGCCAUCAUUCAGUUGGGCACUCUAAGGGGACUGCCGGUGAUAAGCCGCGAGGAAGGUGGGGAUGACGUCAAGUCCUCAUGGCCCUUACGGGCUGGGCUACACACGUGCUACAAUGGCGGUGACAGUGGGAUGCAAUGGAGCAAUCCUGCGCAAAUCUCCAAAAGCCGUCUCAGUUCGGAUUGUGCUCUGCAGCUCGAGCACAUGAAGUUGGAAUCGCUAGUAAUCGCAGAUCAGCACGCUGCGGUGAAUACGUUCCCGGGCCUUGUACACACCGCCCGUCACACCAUGGGAGUUGGCUUUACCUGAAGACGGUGCGCUAACCGCAAGGAGGCAGCCGGCCACGGUAGGGUCAGCGACUGGGGUGAAGUCGUAACAAGGUAAGCGUAGAUGA
rnacentral:rRNA from 1 species